UUUGUUACUUCAAACCAAUCGGACUUCGGUCUGACAUCAAGUGAUAUUGAACAAUUUAGCUGAUCGCACGGUCUAAGAACCGGCGACAUAUCCUUCAAAUGUCUGCCUUAUCAACUUUCGAUGGUAGAUUAUGCGCCUACCAUGGUUGUAACGGGUAACGGAGAAUCAGGGUUUGAUUCCGGAGAGGGAGCCUGAGAAACGGCUACCACAUCCAAGGAAGGCAGCAGGCACGCAAAUUACCCACUCCCGGCACGGGGAGGUAGUGACGAAAAAUAACAAGCUGGUCUCAAUGAGUUCCAGCAUUGUAAUGGGAACAAUUUAAAUCUUUUAUCGAGGAUCUAUUAGAGGGCAAGUCUGGUGCCAGCAGCCGCGGUAAUUCCAGCUCCAAUAGCGUAUAUUAAAGUUGUUGCGGUUAGAAAGCUCGUAGUUGGAUCUAGGAUUAGGGCUACGGUCGUUCAGCUUGGACGUACUGUAUGCCCGACUCCUUUUCUCUAGUAUUCGAUUGUUGCUCUUAAAUGAGUGACUUUAGUUGCUGGAACUUUUACCUUGAAAAAAUUGAAGUGCUCAAAGCAGGUU
rnacentral:rRNA from 1 species